GCUUGAGAAUUCAUGUGGUGAUGUUCAAUGGCUGUUACGUGUGUCUACUCCAGCGGAUGAUCGUGAUGAUGAGUAUCUCGGGCUUCCUCCUAUUGCAGCUAAUGAACCAAUUUUGUGUCUGAUAUGGGAACAGAUUGCAAUUUUGUGUACAGGGUCGUUAGAAGAUCGUUCUGAUGCAGCGGCUUCACUUGUAUCAUUGGCUAGGGACAAUGAGCGUUAUGGGAAGUUGAUUAUAGAAGAAGGUGGGGUUACACCAUUGUUGAAAUUGGCUAAAGAAGGGCGAAUGGAGGGUCAGGAGAACGCAUCGAGGGCUAUUGGUCUUCUUGGUAGAGACCCUGAAAGUGUUGAACAAAUUGUAAAUGCUGGUGUUUGUUCUGUGUUUGCUAAGAUUCUAAAAGAUGGGCAUAUGAAAAUUCAGGUUGUAGUGGCUUGGGCAAUUUCAGAAUUGGCUGCAAAUCAUCACAAAUGUCAAGAUCAUUUUGCUCAAGCAAAUACUAUUAGGCUAUUGGUUAGUCAUCUUGCUUUUGAAACAAUUCAAGAACAUAGUAAAUAUGCUAUUGCUACAAAACAUCAGAACAUGUCCAUACACACGGCUGCCAUGGCACAUUCUAA
rnacentral:misc_RNA from 1 species